AUUAGUUCGCGGGCUCCCGUUUCCUCGAGUGUAGAUCUGUUUUCCACUCGCGGAAGUGAUUUAGCGCGCGCGCCAGCAUAAGUGGUGCGCUCGGUUAUAAUGGCAUAGAUUUGAUGCCAUAAAUAAAUGUUAUGGUGGACAGAGGAUUAACAGGCUGUGUAACACUGAAGGGCCAAAUAAAGAAAAUACCUAGUUGUACAACUGGUGCUUCUAAAGGAAAGAUCAUGGAUUUGUUAAAAUACAAAAGGGUGCUUAUUGGUCAUGUAUAACCACAUAAGUAGCCAAAUGUACACACACACACACACACACGUCUGGUUUGCUAUCCUUGUGGGGACUCUCCAUAGGCGUAAUGCUUUUUCUACUGUACAGACCGUAUAUUCUAUCACCCUACACCUAAACCCCUUACAGGAAACUACAGGCAUUUUUAGAUUUUCAAAAAACUUGAUUUAUUAGCUUGUUUGCCCGUGGGGACCUCAAUUUAGGUCCCCACCGUGAGUCCCCAUGAGUCUGUGUGUAUUCAGGUUUAAGUCCCCACCUGAAUAGAAAAACAGGUACACACACACACGCCGACUACCAUGAUUUUGCCAAGUAAGACCUGUUCCUAAAUCAGCAUAUUUUAUUGUUCCUGUCUGAAAACAUAGUCCCUCUGGCCCUAAACCUAACUAAACCCUAAAAUCAGAGGGAAAUGACAGGUGGUGAACACUGAAUAGCACAGAUGCAAUGUGAAAUCACCAUUUGCUCAAUUAAUUAAAUGUAACAGCCUACAAAAAUAAACAAAUAAAAAGACAUAUUUGUAAUCUUUAAUUAAGUUAUUUUAACUGUAAUCUUUUUUUUUUUUUCAUAGUUGCAACGCUAUUUGCUGUCGCUCAGUGUUGCUUUGAGCUGAUUGGUUAAACUGACUGUCACUCAGGAAUCUGGCCAAUGACUAGCGAGCGCGCCGUUUUCCCGCUCAAAUUUGAAUAUACAUUUUCACAGCAGUGUCUGUCAGCGUGCUGCUGCUGCGGUCGCUCCUCUAGUAAUGGCUUUUAUUAUCUGAGUGUUAAAUUCAUAUUUUGAGUGAGUUUGUGUUGUGGGAUGACGAUUGAGAACGAAUAAACGCGAAUAUGGACACUUCUACCAGCAGCUAAUAGACAAGCAAACUGCAAAAGAGAGGACCUGGAAGCAUGAUCCUUGGACUCCUUGGAGAAGAAUACUGUAUGCAAACCAGGAUUUUGGAUCAACUGUGAAGAUUUUGUAUGGAGCUGAAGUUUUGGAAAUGAAAAUCUUCUAUACCACAUGAUCUUCAGAGGAACCAGUGCUCCACAGAGAUCUGAUCUCAUCGUCUAAAUCCAGAAGAACAUGUGGCAGCGUCUCCCAAGAUGCUUCAAGAAACCUACCUGCAAAGCUAAAAGUUUUAGGCACUUGUGCAAAAUUUCUGUUAAAUGACGAAUAAAUACAUUUUCUUUAUCAAUUAACUUCUAUUAACUAAAUUAAAUCAACAUUUAGUGUGACCACCCUUUACGUUUAAAGCAGCUUUUUAACGUUGCCACAGUUCUUCUGGAUGUAGUCUGUCUCAGUUUGUUCGGUUUCUUCAUGUCAUUCCAGACAGACUGAUGAUGAUCAGAUCAGAUCUCUACAUGUGUGGAGUACAAAAAUCUCACUGGAUUAUUACAAUUAAUGGCAAAAUGAAUGUUUGGAAAUGCAAACUGAUAUUUCCUACUGACACACUACAGGAAAAGAUAGAAAUAACUGACUUAAAACCAUUUUUUAGCUGCUGAAAAUACUAGUGUUCUAAUCAUUUUGGACACCACUGUAUAUGGAGCCCACAGGAGUCAGUGGAAUAUUGUGGAUUAAUAUAAAAUGUAUGUACUCAUGACCUCAUCAUGAGAGUUACCCUAACUGAUAAGAUAGAAAUGCAAUUUUUAGCUAUUUAAUUCCUCCUGGGGGCUCUGAAGAAAUGUUUAUGAAGAAUUCAUUGAUAAUGUUAUUUUACAUCUGAAUAAUAAGAUUGCUCGACAAUCUUGUACAUAUAUUUUAGUUUUUUUUUUUCAGUUUAAAAGGAGUAGUUCAAUUUCAGAAUAAAGAUUUGCUGAUAAUUUAUUCACCCCCCAUGUCAUCCAAGAUGUUCAUGUCUUUCUUUUUUCUGUCGAAAAGAAAUUAAGGUUUUUGAGGAAAACAUUCCAGUUGACUCCCACUGAAGUCCACUAUAUGGAGAAAAAUUAUUUAAUUUCUCAAAAACU